rnacentral:rRNA from 1 species
UACGUAGGGUGCAAGCGCUGUCCGGAAUUAUUGGGCGUAAAGAGCUCGUAGGCGGUCUGUCGCGUCUGCUGUGAAAACUCAGGGCUUAACCCUGAGCUUGCAGUGGGUACGGGCAGACUAGAGUGCGGUAGGGGAGACUGGAAUUCCUGGUGUAGCGGUGAAAUGCGCAGAUAUCAGGAGGAACACCGGUGGCGAAGGCGGGUCUCUGGGCCGAUACUGACGCUGAGGAGCGAAAGCGUGGGGAGCGAACAGG